CUGUGCUCCGCAAUGGGAGAGGCCACAACAGUGAGAGGCCCGCAUAACGCAAAAAAACAAACAAACAAACAAACAAAAAAAUCCGGUUUCAACUAUACAUGGAUCAUUCAUCAGUGUGGCGGCCGUGGUCUAGUCCUGCACUCUCUCCAAGGUUCAGCUUCCUGAGCAGCAAACAGGGGAUAAGAGCUCUCUCUUCAAAGGACUGGUACAAGCUGCCCACGGAGGCCCUAACUCAGCACCUUCUGAAUGAAUGGAUGAAGAAAUCCAGAUUCUUCCCUGUGAGUUAUUUGCCUUCAUUGGAAAUUUGAUGGAUGGCAUCGUAUGAAAAAAACUAUUAAAAUCCUCCAAUGAAAAAUGUACAUAUCUAUUGUGAAUUCUGCACUAAAGUGGUCUAGAAGCUUGUUACGAAUACAGAGGUUUGGUUCAUUUGCUUUUUUCUAACCCGCCUGUUUCCAUAUUGCAAAACAUGCUAAAAGUACUGUUUAUCUUGAUGUAGACUGUGUUAUUUGUGAAGGGUCUGCAUGGAGAAAGAAAACAUAGGCCGCGUUGUUCGAAGAAUCAUUAAGGAGAUAUUAUUUCAGAUCAUAAUGUAAUUAGACUCCUUCAGAGGGAAAUAUGAGUGUUCAUGUUUUCAGCUUUUAUACAGGAAUGUAACUGUGGCUGAUUAAGGGAAAAGUCAACUAAUUUAUAAUGUCUAAAUUUAGUGUUACACCAGAUAAUAUAUCUGAAAUUACAAAAACUAAAACAACUUCAGCUCUGGCUCAAAAGCAGUUCUUUAAUCCAGGGUCUGGAAUACACUGUUUAUAGUAACCGAAAUUCUAAUUUUGUAGAAUUAGAUCUUAAAAGGAGUCAAAGGCAAAAGAAAAUUCCCUACACAUCUGCUGUGCUCAAAGUAUCCACUUCAGAAGAGAACUUUUUUUUAUCUCCAAUUUAUUUUGACAAAAAUUCUCUUGGGCUUUUAUUUCAAAAGAUGAAAAAUGAGCCAUGGCAGUCAAUGGUGUAUGGUGACUAUUUAUCUGUUUACACGUAUCCAUGUGAUUGCUAGAAAAAAACAGAUUAGACUUUGAAUGUGGUAUGAAGAAUGUAUGUUCACAAGCCCAUAUUCCUCAGAGGAGAAAUAGGUUAAAAACUCAAAACUAAGUUUUAGAAACCAUGCAUUUUAUUUUGAGGAACAAUAAUUCAAGGCCUGAUUUUUUUAAGGUAAAAUAUAUAUGCUCCAUCUUAAAGUAAACAUAUUCAGCAAGUCAGUUCAUGGUUUACAGUUUUCCUAACCAAAAAAAUCAUGAAGCUAAUUAUUUAAUAAUGUCCAUGUUAUAAUUUACAUGACAGGUGUCUAUCUGAAAAAUAUCUAUACAUCUACUUUUGAUUAAUCAAAGAAUAUCGUAAAUGUACUAGAGAAACCUUUUAUAUAUUGAUUUCUUUGGCAAAUACCUUUCCGAAGUAAAGGGAGCCUUAUAAAAUUAAUAAUAGCCCUGAAUCAUUCUCCUUCUUAGUUCCCGAUUUUCAUAGAUUGGGCUUUCUUUUAAGAGGGUAUGCACCUGUAGGAAAUUUUAUACGGCAGGCAGCCUCCCUGCCAUAAUCAGAAACCAAAUUCAUUUUUGGAGGAAAGUAGGAAAUACACAAUGGCAUACGUGCCUCUUUUACGACCACAUCUGCACAGCUCAGGGAAAAGUUCGCAGAUAAGUCUGCUGAUCACAUUACAAGGCUGUUAUGAGAGAAUAAAGUUGCACCUUUGAUGGGCUAUUGCAGCUGAGUUAGAGGUCCCAGUCAUUAGAAGUUUGGCAUGUCACAGAGCGGAGCAGAUUGGAGACCCAAAAAUACUUUAUGCAACUAGCUGAAUUUUGGUCAUUUCCAUCAAAUAUCAGUGGACCCGUUAGACAAAGAUGAACAAUACGUGUGCGCGGGCACGCACACACACACACACCCCCCUCAAUACGCACUGGCAGUAAAGAUGACUUUAGGUAAUUUCUGACUUUCACCUCUGCGAUACAAAGUCCAUUGUGCUUGUACAGUGCCUUCAGGACACCAGCUGAGAACAAAGCUGCUUCCAGAAGCGGUAAGUGAUUUCAUUCUUAAUGUCCAGGUGAUAUGUGAAGCCCAUUAUCACAUCACUAAUAUGGCAGCAGACAUUUCCUGGCCAACCCCAGGUAGCUCCAGUGUUUGUGAAAUGUGUGACUGGUAAAGGUAGACCUCAGAAACACUUUUAAUUUUCUGCUAGUGUCACCAAAUGCUAAACACAGCCCUAAAAGUCAUCUUUUAAAUUUCAAAAGAAAAUGAAAUUGAACGCCACAUAAAAGAUCACAGAAAAUGUUUAAACAAAACAAUUUGCAGGAUUUAAUUGAAGGGUUUUGGUGAAGUGUUUGUGUUCCAGAUGUAAUGUGUGGCACAUUAUCAGAGAAAGCUUGGAAUAUGAGGAGGAAGGCCAUUGAUGUAAAAAGUGAGUAAUUCCAGUUCCCUGUCACACAGCACAUGGAGGGAACAGGAAUCAUCCCCAACUGUCCAUUGUCUCCUGAGGACAUCUCCUAACACAUCAGGGCCGCCUCGGUGGUCUCUGAUUGGCAUUGUGCCCCCUAAAAUUAACGUAGUUGGUGGGCUUCCCUGGUGGCGCAGUGGU